rnacentral:rRNA from 1 species
UACGUAGGGUGCGAGCGUUAAUCGGAAUUACUGGGCGUAAAGCGUGCGCAGGCGGUUUUGUAAGCCCGAUGUGACAUCCCCGGGCUUAACCUGGGAAUGGCAUUUGGGACUGCAAGGCUGGAGUGUGGCAGAGGAGACUGGAAUUCCUGGUGUAGCAGUGAAAUGCGUAGAUAUCAGGAGGAAUACCGAUGGCGAAGGCAGGUCUCUGGGCUGACACUGACGCUCAUGCACGAAAGCGUGGGGAGCAAACAGG